rnacentral:rRNA from 1 species
AUGAUCUGCUUCAACUGUGGGGGCCUUGGUCAUUAUGUUGGGAAUUGUGUGACGUCAAAGGCUUGUUUCAUCUGCCAGCAAAAUCACAACGUCAAUAACUAUGCAACGUGGUCAAAAGUGCAACCGAUUGCUGUUUUCUUUGGCAGUGGAGCUCGGGGACUUGGUUUCUACCAUGUGGAUGUGCCUGUAGCUAAUGAAUCAAAAUGGCUAAAUUUUCAGAAUUGUGUUGUGGUCAAUAUUUUAAAAGGAGAGGUGGAUUGUGCUAAGUUGAUGGAAGUUCUUACUGUAACUUUUUGCAAGACUAGGCAAUGGCCUUGGCAGAUCGGAGGGCUAUCCAGUAAGACCUUUUUAGUCAGAUUUCCCCCUUGGAAGAAAGUUGAGGACCUCAUUGAACUGCCUGGGUUCUCUCUUCCACAAGAUGUUAAUAUCACUUUGACUGAAUGGAAAGGUGCUUGUGAUCCUUUUGGGGAGCUGAUUGAAGCUUGGGUGUUAAUUGAGGGGAUUCCUCCUAAAUGGUGCACAUGGAAAGUGUUUGCUCAAAUUGCCUCACUUUUGGGGGUCCUUACGGAUGUGGAUUGGAAUGGUAUGUUUAGGACCUUCUUUGAGAAUGUUAGGGUGAAAAUUGCUUGUAGGGAUCCUACUAAGAUACCAUUUGAGAGGUUGAUUGAGAUGAAGAAGAAACUUUUUCUACUAGGUUUUACUGUAGAGGGCUUUGAACAAGUGGUGGAAUAG